rnacentral:rRNA from 1 species
AGCCAGACUCCUACGGGAGGCAGCAGUGGGGAAUAUUGCACAAUGGGGGAAACCCUGAUGCGGCGACGCCGCGUGAGCGAUGAAGUAUUUCGGUAUGUAAAGCUCUAUCAGCAGGGAAGAAAAUGACGGUACCUGACUAAGAAGCCCCGGCUAACUACGUGCCAGCAGCCGCGGUAAUACGUAGGGGGCAAGCGUUAUCCGGAUUUACUGGGUGUAAAGGGAGCGUAGACGGCAAUGCAAGCCAGAUGUGAAAGCCCGGGGCUCAACCCCGGGACUGCAUUUGGAACUGUGUAGCUGGAGUAUCGGAGAGGCAGGCGGAAUUCCUAGUGUAGCGGUGAAAUGCGUAGAUAUUAGGAGGAACACCAGUGGCGAAGGCGGCCUGCUGGACGAUGACUGACGUUGAGGCUCGAAAGCGUGGGGAGCAAACAGGAUUAGAUACCCUGGUAA